rnacentral:sRNA from 1 species
GUCGUGUUCUUCUUCUUCGGGACAAAAUUCAAUGCC